rnacentral:rRNA from 1 species
CUGGGAGUGAGACACGGCCCAGACUCCUACGGGAGGCAGCAGUGGGGAAUCUUGGACAAUGGGCGCAACCCUGAUCCAGCCAUGCCGCGUGAGUGAAGAAGGCCUUCGGGUUGUAAAGCUCUUUUGCCGGGGAAGAUAAUGACGGUACCCGUAGAAUAAGCCCCGGCUAACUCCGUGCCAGCAGCCGCGGUAAUACGAAGGGGGCUAGCGUUGUUCGGAAUUACUGGGCGUAAAGCGCACGUAGGCGGAUUGGUAAGUCAGGGGUGAAAUCCCGGGGCUCAACCCCGGAACUGCCUUUGAGACUGCCCGUCUUGAGUCCGGUAGAGGUGAGUGGAAUUCCGAGUGUAGAGGUGAAAUUCAUAUAUAUUCGGAAGAACACCAGUGGCGAAGGC